CCUACGGGCGGCUGCAGUGAGGAAUAUUGGUCAAUGGGCUUACGCCUGAACCAGCCAAGUCGCGUGAGGGAAGACUGCCCUAUGGGUUGUAAACCUCUUUUGUCAGGGAGCAACGCCGGCUACGUGUAGCCGGACUGAGAGUACCUGAAGAAAAAGCAUCGGCUAACUCCGUGCCAGCAGCCGCGGUAAUACGGAGGAUGCGAGCGUUAUCCGGAUUGAUUGGGUUUAAAGGGUGCGUAGGCGGAAUGCCAAGUCAGCGGUAAAAUCGCGGGGCUCAACCUCGCUCCGCCGUUGAAACUGGCGUUCUUGAGUGGGCGAGAAGUAUGCGGAAUGCGUGGUGUAGCGGUGACAUGCAUAGAUAUCACGCAGAACUCCGAUUGCGAAGGCAGCAUACCGGCGCCCAAUUGACGCUGAAGCACGAAAGCGUGGGUAUCGAACAGGAUUAGAUACCCCUGUAGUC
rnacentral:rRNA from 1 species